AUGCCUUCGCUCUUUUCCUUCACACUUUCAUACGUCUUCAUAUCACAAACCCUAAUGACGUCUCCCUCUCAAGCAUCCAUGGCCGCCUUCAUAUCUACCGCAUCUGUGGCCAUCUUCUUUAUACCUGCGACCACCACAAGCCCUCUGUCUUUUCAUCUCACGAUCCGGUUGUAAAAACCCUAAGAGGGGCCUGUGUUUAUCAAUCUCUCUUUAGAACCUUCCAUCCAUUGCGUUUCCUUCUCAAGCAAAUCUCUUACUUCAGAAAAAACAACUCAGACAUCCUUGUAACCAUCCUGUUGAUGGAUUCUCUACCGGUUUUUCUGACCAAAACAAUCUGUUUGAAUUGAAUGGAGCCUCACGAUUAUUGGGCUGCCUAAUAUAUUAUAGUUCAUAUGUAUUUUCUCUGCCAAUUUUGCGAAAGAUCAUCAGAUUCAAUAAGAUUAUUAGGUUUUUGUGAGAUUACGAUUGAGGAUUGUGUUUGGAUUGGAAUCGGGAUUGAUUCAUGGAGAAAUCGAUAAGAGAUUGAGGAAAACGAUGCCGGAAUUAGCUGUUGAUUGUCGAACAACGUCGUAUGGAGCAGUUUCUCUGAGUGGAUUUUGGUCGAAGCAUUGUGGUGAUGUUAGUUAUAAUCAGCUUCAUAAGGUUUGGAUGCGACUGUUUCGAUGACGGCGGUGUAGGUUUGGAUGCAGUGAAAACGAGUGGAGAUGGUAGUUUGACCUGCCGAUAAGGUUUUCGACCACAACCCUCAACUCCGUUAAGGUUUCCAACCUCAACCAUCGCGCUUCAGGUCAUCCACGUCUAUAUUUAUUCUCUAUUAUUCUUGUCCGUGCUUUUUUUGAUGAACCAGUUUCUGUUUCUAUAAUCCUAUCAUAUGCAUAUGGCUUUCUAUUUAUUUAAAAAAAAUUCUUGCCUUUGUAAGCAUUUUGGCCUAAGUAUUUUGGUUUAAAUUCAGUUUCGAAUGCCAUUUUAGUGCCUGUAUAGAGAAAUUAUGCUGCAUGUUUCGACAUAACAUUUUGCAAAAAAUACAAGUAAUGUAUAGAGAAUCGGUUCAUUGUGAGCAUACCUUAUUCAAGAAUUUAUUGGUCUUUGAGUCUUUCAAACCUCCAACCUAACACUUUAGGCCCUUUUUUAAACAUCUCAAGCACAUACAUAACUAAAAAGGCAAAACUGAAAACCAUUAUGAAUGUGUUCCUUGCAAAUAUAGAGAUAUUAUGCUGCAUGUUUCGACAUAACAUUUUGCAAAAAAAUACAAGUAAUGUAUAGAGAAUCAGUUCAUUGUGAGCAUACCUUAUUCAAGAAUUUAUUGGUCUUUGAAUCUUUCAAACCUCCAACCUUAACACUUUAGGCCCUUUAAACAUCUCAAGCACAUACAUAACUAAAAAGGCAAAACUGAAAACCAUUAUAAAUUAUGUAUUCCUUGCAAAUAUAAUUCUGAACAUUUUGUUAAACACUUGGUGGGUAAUGGUGUGGUUGAGAGAAUGCAUUGAACCCUCAAAAAGCUCCAAUCUGCCACUUUAUCCUAUGUAUGAUAUAGUUAUAAAGCGUCUACUAAUGUGGAGAAAAUUUAAAUUGUUGUAGCGGAAAAGGUUUUAUAUUCAUUAUGUCCUAAAAUUUACUAAUUACAUAACACAUUAGUAAAAUCUAGAAUCAAACAUAAGCAUGAAGUGCGAUUAUUAAAAAAAAGAAUUGAGGUUGCUUGCUUUAAAUGGCUGAGGUCAGUUUUGAUUAGCGUCCCUUCGGGGACAUCCGAUAAAACUAGGAUUAUGUUUUACGGGUAGAAAUAUUGGUUGCUUUAGUUCAAUUUCUUAUGUUCUACAUGCUUCAUGAAAUCCUUGAAUGUGGAUUUUGUGAUUGACAGUCAUAAGUCAAUAAUUGGAUCUGGGAAGAACUGAAGCAUGCUUCUGCUUUCAAGUGUUGUGUUUUUAAAGAACUUAGAAUUUUUUGAUAGGUUGCAACAUUUAUUUAACAUUAAUUUGUUCACCUGACUUCGUAAGGUUUAAUGAAUUUUGUAUUGGUCUCAGUAAUUUCAUAUGAUUUGUAUGCUACUUUUCAUUAUUUUUUUUGUAUUAUAGCUCUUUUUUUAUUAGUGUAAAAAACGUCAAUCUUAACCGGAACAAAAUUAAAAUCAUGUAAUCCGUUUAAAAAACGACUUAAAAGGGUGUAAAUGGGUUGGCGGGUUAUUAAUGAGUUAAAAGGGUUGGCAUUUUAAGUCAAACACACAGGACUAGGACUUGUGUGAAAAAGUUACACCUCAAUGUGAUAGUGAUUCUUUCUUAACCUUAGCAAACAUGCCUAACCUGCCCAUUUUCCCAUCUUUGUUAUAUAUAAAUAAUAUCUAAGACGAAUAUUGUCAGUGACGUCUCCAGAGAUGGUGGCCAGGGCUCCGAUGGUGAUUCUGGUAAUUACAGAAGGGCCCUCCAACGAUGUAUGAUUUCUGAAUCCACAUGGUGGUAUGAGUUGAGUCACUGGGUAACACGUUGUGUUGGAGUGGAAGAUGACAGAGGUUGGUUCCACGGACCCCAUUUUGUCAGUAAUGUCUCUGGUACUCCGAGUCAGGUUAGACGUCUAACAACACCAUUUGUUCUAUGUAUUUUGUUAAUCCACUAUCAAUUUUAUUAGGUAUGACCUUGAUGCCCUUGACACCCAAAGAUGUCCUUGACACCCAAAGAUGUCUCAUCAAAUCCUUAAUCAGGUAUGAUUUUUUUCGGAAGAAGUUGUGAGGAAUGUUAUUGUGGACAAUUCGCUCAGAUUCGUUUAUUUAGUUGAUUCAUGCAUUUUGAUUCUAAUUGGAUUUUGACCUAAUAAGCUGCUUCUUUAAACCUUAGAAUCUAUCGCUGUUUUGUUCAUCACUCUAUCUCAGGUUUGGUCAAUAUUCAACAGGUAUUUUCAUGGUCGUCGUGUGCGUUCUAAGCACCGAAAAAAGCCUCUAAAACGGUAAUCUAUAUCUUCAAUCUUUGAACAAUCCUUUUUUAAUUUAUAAGUUUUUUAUGUUGAAGGCUAUGGUUCCGAAAAGUUGAUCUUGAGCAAGUUGUUAGGCAUUGUUCAUCUCAGUUCGAUAUCUCUAUAGAGCUGGUGCAAGCUGCAAGAUCAGGUGGGAAAUUUGAUUUGAUUGCAGCAGUUGGUGGCAAGUGAAAAUUUAGGAAAAGCCUUCAAGCUUGUGGUAGACAGAAGUGUAACUCUCUUUCUCUUCUUAUGCAGUUGAACCACAAUUGAAGAGUUGGCGUCAGAUAAAGAGAGAGGGAAUAUCCCUGGGAAUAUCCCUGGGAAUAUCCCUGGGAAUAUCCCUGUUCGGUCAAAAUAUAUCAUAAAACAAAAUGGAAGUGAAUCUGAGUUGCAGCAAACAUCCGCCUCUUCGACAAAACUCAUCUCCAUUUGAACCAAAAGAACCAACGACAAUGUAAUCUUCUUAAUGGAUUUCUUUAUUUUCUGAUUGAACUCCGACAAGUUUCUUAUGCUUCCCUUUUGUAUUUAUUUCUUUUCCUGAUGUUUCUAAACAAGUCAUUGUAAAACUUCUUACUUUCUAAAUCACAAAAUGUUUUAGUUCUAAAUGAAAAGGUGGAUCUUGGUAUGAGAUUUUAUACUAUUGCCUGCGAUGUUUUUGUUUUAAAUAAGUUGGAAUGUGUUUAAUGAUUUCUAAAUUUGUUACAAGUUCGAAUGUCCGAGAUAUUGCAGAUUUGAAAUAGUAGGUUGCUAGAAUCAGAUGCAGAACUUUGGAGCUGAAUACUGCCAUAGAUAUAUUGAUAUAGCAGGAAAGAAGAGUCCAGAGGGAAUGACCAGAAUGUGAAGCGGAUUAGGGAGUAUCGACUGAAUUUUGAAUUGGAGCUUGAUAAUAUUGAGUGGCUUAUUGGAUGGGUGUUUGCACAAGUAUAUUCACCCCUUUUCUAUAUGGUAGGGUUGUAUUUAGGAAAUUUCACUUCUUGCUUUUGGGAUAGACUUUUAUGCAUAUAAAGUUCUGAACAUGUAACAUAUUCCAAUUUAAUAUGGUACAAUUGAUUUGAUAAUCUCAUGGCGUUGAUAUCGCUACAUUCUUUUUUAAAAGAAACAACGUGCUCUGUGAGGGAAGACAAUUAAAUCGUAGGAUACUUAGGAAGAAAUAAAAUUAUGUGUUUUUUCUUUCAUCUUUUAGCUUUAGCAAACCUUUCUUUCCUAUAUGUUAUGUAUUUAGUUUUUUUUAUUGUUACAAAGAGCCAGGAACUAGGAACUCAUACAGGGUUGCGAGUUGCGGGUACAAGACUCUGUAGCUUAAGGUAGUUUUCGCAUCAUUUUAUUCCUAAACAUAUUUUACAUCAGUUAUAAUUUUAGAUUUUGCAUGUUAAUUUGCUUCUAUUCAUUUAUGCAAGUUUUGGAAUGUUUAAACCUUCAUGUUAGGUUUAUUGAUGGUUAUUUUAUCUCUCACCCAUUUUAAACGCUUUGUUUUGAAACUUUUAUGGGUUAACUCAAACCGAUAUCAACCUACCAUUCAUCACAGCUGAUGCAUCUGGUGCUAAGCAUUGAAUAUCACUCUCACAAGGUCGAAAUUCGAGGCUCUGGUAUCGUAAGCAAGAACAUGAGUAUCACAUGUUUUGAUUAGGCUUCUGAUCUGGAAAAGUUUCUACAUGUAUGCCUUAUUUUUAUAUAUUUCUUUAGGUUUGUACUCUCUACUUCAUGGUAUCUUUUUUUAUAUUUGUAGCAAAA